rfam:Stereum hirsutum FP-91666 SS1 unplaced genomic scaffold STEHIscaffold_17, whole genome shotgun sequence.
GCAUCAAUGGGGUAGUGGUAACCUGGGUCGUUGCCAUUCGAAGAGUGCUAUGCAACCGCGUUUCGACCCGCCGGGGGUUCAAUUCCCCCUUGAUGCA